ensembl:lncRNA
GUAUGAUAACUGGAAGAGGACUCACCUAGACCUGAGGGCAGAUGGAGGACAGGUCCACAUGAGGUGACAGCUGAACAUCCGCAAUGUCGGCAGACGUCUCUGCUCCUGAUCUGAUCUGGAGUCUGAUCUACAGCGACCUUCUUCAAACAGGCUCCACCUCCUGCAGCCAAUCAGCUCCUCCCCUUCUUACUGCCAAUCAGCUCCUCCCCCUUUAGCCCCCACCACAGCACUCAGACUCUGGUCCUCUUUACACGAGUGCACGAGGUUGCCAUCACAGGUGUGUGUGUGUGUGUGUGUGUGUGUGUGUGUGUGUGUGUGUGUGUGUGUGUGUGUGUGUGUUGAUCCGAGGCCCUGCAGCUUUGACACCGCCAACCGAUCAGCAGGCGUUACCGUGACGACAACGAGCUGAAGCGCUGCAAGAAACCGUCUUGACAUCCUCCCGCCUCCAAACAGGAAACCGCAGCGGGGGGAGGAAGCCUCCUCGCCGUCGGCUGCACCUCCAUCGGCCUCGUUUCCUCCAGAGAGAACGCCGCUCUCCUUCACGGGGCGACUUCAGGACUUGUGAUGAAGAUCCGGAGGAGCAACGUGGACCUGAGCAGAGAAUCAUCUCUCUUCUAGCUGCACGUUGAGCGUUGGUACAGAAACGUGGCCCAACCCUGAAACUCAGGCCCGAUUCCAGUCUGCCCGACCUCUGACCCCCGAGGAACUGAGCGUGAGCGUCUGAGGGCUUCAAACGGUGUGAAUAUGAAGAAACAGCACUGCCACAUGUCACGUCACCACGGCAACGCCACAAAAUAUGAUGUAUAAUUAAAG